AUUGAACGCUGGCGGCAGGCCUAACACAUGCAAGUCGAACGAGUGGCGGACGGGUGAGUAAUGUCUGGGAAACUGCCUGAUGGAGGGGGAUAACUACUGGACACGGUCGCUAAUACCGCAUACCAUCAGAUGUGCCCCGCUUUGAUUAGCUGGGUGGGGGGGUAAAGGCUCACCAAGGCGACGAUCCCUAGCUGGUCUGAGAGGAUGAACCGCCACAAUGGAACUGAGACACGGUCCAGACUCCUACGGGAGGCAGCAGUGGGGAAUAUUGGACAAUGGGCGCAAGCCUGAUGCAGCCAUGCCGCGUGUAUGAAGAAGGCCUUCGGGUUGUAAAGUACUUUCAGCGGGGAGGCGUUACCCGCAGAAGAAGCACCGGCUAACUCCGUGCCAGCAGCCGCGGUAAUUC
rnacentral:rRNA from 1 species